rnacentral:misc_RNA from 1 species
GAUGAAGAACGCAGCGAAAUGCGAUAAGUAAUGUGAAUUGCAGAAUUCAGUGAAUCAUCGAAUCUUUGAACGCACAUUGCGCCCGCCAGUAUUCUGGCGGGCAUGCCUGUUCGAGCGUCAUUUCAACCAUCUAGCCCCCGGCUUGUGUUGGGGACCUGCGGCUGCCGCAGGCCCUGAAAACCAGUGGCGGGCUCGCUAGUCACUCCGAGCGUAGUAAUACAUCUCGCUCAGGGCGUGCUGCGGGUUCCGGCCGUUAAAAAAGCCUUAUUUACCCAAGGUUGACCUCGGAUCAGGUAGGAAGACCCGCUGAACUUAAGCAUAUCAAUAAGCGGAGGA